AACGAACGCUGGCGGCAUGCCUAACACAUGCAAGUCGAACGAGACCUUCGGGUCUAGUGGCGCACGGGUGCGUAACGCGUGGGAACCUGCCCUUAGGUUCGGAAUAACUCCCCGAAAGGGGUGCUAAUACCGGAUAAUGUCUUCGGACCAAAGAUUUAUCGCCUUUGGAUGGGCCCGCGUUGGAUUAGCUAGUUGGUAGGGUAAAAGCCUACCAAGGCGGCGAUCCAUAGCUGGUCUGAGAGGAUGAUCAGCCACACUGGGACUGAGACACGGCCCAGACUCCUACGGGAGGCAGCAGUGGGGAAUAUUGGACAAUGGGCGAAAGCCUGAUCCAGCAAUGCCGCGUGAGUGAUGAAGGCCUUAGGGUUGUAAAGCUCUUUUACCCGGGAUGAUAAUGACAGUACCGGGAGAAUAAGCUCCGGCUAACUCCGU
rnacentral:rRNA from 1 species